UACGGAGGAUGCAAGCGUUAUCCGGAAUGAUUGGGCGUAAAGCGUCCGCAGGUGGCAAUGUAAGUCUGCUGUCAAAGCGUCUGGCUCAACCAGAUAAAGGCAGUGGAAACUACAUAGCUAGAGUAAGGUAGGGGUAGAGGGAAUUCCUGGUGUAGCGGUGAAAUGCGUAGAGAUCAGGAAGAACACCGGUGGCGAAAGCGCUCUGCUGGACCUUAACUGACACUGAGGGACGAAAGCUAGGGGAGCGAAUGAG
rnacentral:rRNA from 1 species